rnacentral:rRNA from 1 species
AGAGUUUGAUCCUGGCUCAGAUUGAACGCUGGCGGCAUGCCUUACACAUGCAAGUCGAACGGCAGCGCGGGGCAACCUGGCGGCGAGUGGCGAACGGGUGAGUAAAAUAUCGGAACAUACCCUAGAGUGGGGGAUAACGUAGCGAAAGUUACGCUAAUACCGCAUACGCACUAAGGUGGAAAGUGGGGGAUUCGCAAGAACCUCAUGCUCAUGGAGUGGCCGAUAUCUGAUUAGCUAGUUGGUGAGGUAAAGGCUCACCAAGGCGACGAUCAGUAGCUGGUUUGAGAGAACGACCAGCCACACUGGAACUGAGACACGGUCCAGACUCCUACGGGAGGCAGCAGUGGGGAAUUUUGGACAAUGGGGGCAA